rnacentral:rRNA from 1 species
GUUUGAUCCUGGCUCAGAGCGAACGCUGGCGGCGUGCUUAACACAUGCAAGUCGAGCGCGCAGCCUUUUGUAGCAAUACAGAAGGUGGGCGCGUGGCGAACGGGUGCGUAACACGUGGAUAACCUUCCUUCAGGUGGGGAAUAACCCCGCGAAAGCGGGGCUAAUACCGCAUAACAUGACGAUGGCACAUGCCGUUGUCCUCAAAGCCGCAAGGCGCCAGAAGAGGGAUCCGCGGCCGAUUAGCUUGUUGGCGAGGUAAUGGCUCACCAAGGCAUUGAUCGGUAGCCGGACUGAGAGGUUGGCCGGCCACACUGGAACUGAGACACGGUCCAGACUCCUACGGGAGGCAGCAGUGGGGAAUCUUGCGCAAUGGGCGAAAGCCUGACGCAGCAACGCCGCGUGGGGGAUGAAGCUUCUCGGAGUGUAAACCCCUUUCGACCCGGACGAAUGCCCGCAAGGGUUUGACGGUACGGGUAUAAGAAGCCCCGGCUAACUACGUGCCAGCAGCCGCGGUAAUACGUAGGGGGCCAGCGUUGCUCGGAAUUACUGGGCGUAAAGGGUUCGUAGGCGGUGCGGCAAGUCGGGAGUGAAAUCUCUGGGCUUAACCCAGAGGCUGCUUCCGAAACUGCCGUGCUAGAGUGCGGGAGAGGCGAGUGGAAUUGCAGGUGUAGCGGUGAAAUGCGUAGAUAUCUGCAGGAACACCCGUGGCGAAGGCGGCUCGCUGGACCGCAACUGACGCUGAGGAAC